AGUAAUGUCUGGGAAACUGCCCUGAUGGAGGGGGAUAACUACUGGAAACGGUAGCUAAUACCGCAUGACGUCUUCGGACCAAAGUGGGGGACCUUCGGGCCUCACGCCAUCAGAUGUGCCCAGAUGGGAUUAGCUAGUAGGUGGGGUAAUGGCUCACCUAGGCGACGAUCUCUAGCUGGUCUGAGAGGAUGACCAGCCACACUGGAACUGAGACACGGUCCAGACUCCUACGGGAGGCAGCAGUGGGGAAUAUUGCACAAUGGGCGCAAGCCUGAUGCACCCAUGCCGCGUGUAUGAAGAAGGCCUUCGGGUUGUAAAGUACUUUCAGCGAGGAGGAAGGCAUUGUGGUUAAUAACCACAGUGAUUGACGUUACUCGCACAAGAAGCACCGGCUAACUCCGUGCCAGCAGCCGCGGUAAUACGGAGGGUGCAAGCGUUAAUCGGAAUUACUGGGCGUAAAGCGCACGCAGGCGGUUGAUUAACUCAGAUGUGAAAUCCCCCGAGCUUAACUUGGGCAACUGCCUUUGAAACUGGCCAGCUAAGAGUCUUGUAAAGGGGGGUAAGAAUUCCAGGU
rnacentral:rRNA from 1 species